rnacentral:tRNA from 1 species
GUAGCUCAGUGGUAGAGUGCUUGCCUAGUAUGCACGAGGCCCUGGGUUCUAUCCCUAGC